ACAUCUUCCUCCUUUCCUGCAAAUGCGGUCAAACCCAACGGACAGGAACAUCACUCUCCAGACUAUCCUGCAGCGUAGAGACUUGGCACCUCUGUGUGAUGAAAUCCAAAUACUGGCUGUGGUUAUAAGGCUGAGCAAAACACAGAGCAGAUGAAGAGAUACAGGUGACCUAGCCCUGGAAUGUGCUUAAGUACUGGAAUACUCCUCUACCUAAAUGCAUGUGAGUAAAUAAUGACUAUACAACUCUCAUAUCAGAAAAAUAACACAAGUUAGAU
rnacentral:lncRNA from 1 species